AACGAACGCUGGCGGCGUGCCUAACACAUGCAAGUCGAACGGAAUUAGAGAGCUUGCUCUUUGAUUUAGUGGCGCACGGGUGAGUAACGCGUAGAUAAUCUGCCUGACGAUCUGGGAUAACACUUCGAAAGAGGUGCUAAUACCGGAUAAGCCCACGGGUUCUUUGGAAUCUGCGGGAAAAGGGGGGGACCUUCGGGCCUUCUGUCGUCAGAUGAGUCUGCGUACCAUUAGCUAGUUGGUAGGGUAAAGGCCUACCAAGGCGACGAUGGUUAGCUGGUCUGAGGGGAUGAUCAGCCACACUGGAAAUGAGACACGGUCCAGACUCCUACGGGAGGUAGCAGUGGGGAAUUUUGCGCAAUGGGCGAAAGCCUGACGCAGCAACGCCGCGUGAGUGAUGAAGGCUUUCGGGUCGUAAAGCUCUGUCAAUGGGAAAGAAGUGUAUUUUGGCUAAUAUCCUUAAUACUUGACGGUACCCAUAAAGGAAGCACCGGCUAACUCCGUGCCAGCCGCCGCCGUAA
rnacentral:rRNA from 1 species